UUCUUUCAUCUUCUUCUCUUCUCCUCCGUUAUGAUCGAAGCUUUUGGCAGAUUUCCACCAAAAUUAGUUUCUUUAUUUCAUUGAUUUGUUUUUCAAUCGUAUCAUUCAGUCAUAUAAAAGUUGAAGAGAGAAUUGUUGAGUUUUCUUCCUCUUCGGAGUUUAUACGACUGAGUACUACGAAACCCUUACCCUGAAUCACCGAAAUACACGCACAAUUUUACAUGUUUCUUUACCUUCUCAAACCAUAGCUGUUCAGACUUAGCCGUAUAAUGAACCUGAUUUUCGUUCUACCUUCUAAAACCCAACUUCCAUUUUGUUUUUUCUCUAUAGAAGUUGAAGGUGUUUAUUGGCAAUUGAUGGUGUCCUGACUCUUACAAGGCAUGAAAAUCCUGCGGAGCUUGGUGGGAAGAUGAUAGCUAUGGCUCUCUUAAGAAAAUGGUCCCUGAUGGAGUCAACAGAGUAACAUGAGCAUUGGUCCAGAGGCUGCUAUUGAAGCAGAGGAAAUCGAAUCGGUUGAAGCUGGCUCCGGUCAGAAAUGAUGUGACUUGAGUCACUUCCUGGUAAGUCCCGUUUUGUGAAGUAGAGCAGCGUACUGGUGAUAUAUAAAUAGUAGAGGAAGUUAGUAAGUUCAUUCUGUUACCAAAUCUUUAGUGGGAGCACAAUAAAAAGUGUAAAGGGACUAUCUCCCUAUCCUCUUUUUCUGUUGGGCACCGGAAACCUAUUAGGAAAUGUGAAUUGAACUAUAACAAAGAAAGUUAAAAAAAAAGAAAUCCCGAUUGUGUAAAGUUGAGUCAAGUAUCCCCUUAAUCGAUGUCAUAAUAUGGUUGCUAAAAUGCUAACGAACCAGACCUAAGUAGACAUAAACUCACUAUUAAGAUAAAAUACUACUACCUCCGUUUACACACAAACCUACCUAUAUUUUAGAGACCGAGGGAAUAAUAUAGAGG